ACUUAGGCGGUUCAUUUUUAGUAGGUUACUAAUAUUUCUUUGUGAAGAUACUUGGAUUAUAUAAAUCGCCAGCAAUUCAUUGUUCUCUAUUGAUCUUUUUGUUGAGAAGCGCCAAUCUUUGGACAAUUGGAUGUCGGACAUCUGCAGUGCUUGCAACUCUGCAAGUAUUUCCGUUCCGGAGAAGCAAUUGUUUAGAACCUUUAGUGAGACCGUGUGGUACUUCUCCGAUUUGGGUGUAUAUCGUAAAAGGCUGUCUUAACUGCAAUUAGGAUUUCUCUCGCUCUGUUAAAAGUCUCCUCAAUGAGUUCCAGUCUUGGUGGGUGAUGUAUAUUGGAGGUUUGUCUCUAUUUGUGGGGGCUGUGGUGUCAGUGGAUUCUUCCUUGGAGAAGCUGGUGGCUUGUGUGGGAUAUGUCUGGUUUUCCGUAUCCAGGUUGCUGGAGAUAUGGGCCUCCUGCGUCGUCCAUUUCGCUGGGCUGCACCUGGGACGCUCAGGGUGUGACGUCAAUCACAUCUCAACCUACAUCAGAGAUAACACAUGGACUCCGAGCUUCGGACACUUUCCACAUCAUAACCUAUACCGAGCCCCUCAACAUGCUCAAACCAAAACGCCUAUAAGCCGAGACUUCAGCCAGCUCGAGUAGUUCUUGUUCUUGUUCCUGUUCUUGCGCAGCCCUUUUCUCCGAUUCAGUGUCAUUCUAUUUCUUCGAUCCUGCCAGGAUCCAUUCCCUUCAGUGUAAACGAAAUCACGAUUUCGGCAUACGUGCAUCAUUGAAGAUUGAAGGAUCAGUGGACCUCUGCAUAGAUCAGCUCACUUUGCGUGAAAACGACUUCUAUGGAAAGC